AGUGAACGCUGGCGGUAGGCCUAACACAUGCAAGUCGAACGGCAGCACAGUAAGAGCUUGCUCUUACGGGUGGCGAGUGGCGGACGGGUGAGGAAUACAUCGGAAUCUACUUUUUCGUGGGGGAUAACGUAGGGAAACUUACGCUAAUACCGCAUACGACCUACGGGGGAGAGCAGUGGAUCUUCGCACCUUGCGCGAUUGAAUGAGCCGAUGUCGGAUUAGCUAGUUGGCGGGGUAAAGGCCCACCAAGGCGACGAUCCGUAGCUGGUCUGAGAGGAUGAUCAGCCACAUGGGAGCUGAGACACCGUCCAGAGUCCUACGGGAGGGAGCAGUGUGGAAUAUUGGACAGUGGGGGGAAGCAUGGUCCAGCCAUACCGAGUGGGUGAAGAAGGCCUUCGGGUUGUAAAGACCUUUUGUGGGGAAAGAACAGCAGUCGGUUAAUACGCCGCUGUUGUGACGGUACCCAAAGAAUAAGCACCGGCUAACUUCGUG
rnacentral:rRNA from 1 species